CAGCCGCGGUAAACGUAGGGGGCGAGCGUUAUCCGGAUUUACUGGGCGUAAAGCGCACGUAGGCGGCAUCGUAAGUUGGACGUGAAAGCUCCCGGCUCAACUGGGAGAGGUCGUUCAAAACUGUGGUGCUUGAGGUUGAUAGAGGAGAGUGGAAUUCCCGGUGUAGUGGUGGAAUGCGUAGAUAUCGGGAGGAACACCAGUGGCGAAGGCGGCUCUCUAGGUCACACCUGACGCUGAGGUGCGAAAGCGUGGGGAGCGAACGGGAUUAGAUACCCCGGUAGUCCACGCUGUAAACGAUGGAUACUAGGUGUGGGAGGUUAUUUACCCCUUCUGUGCCGUAGCUAACGCGUUAAGUAUCCCGCCUGGGGACUACGGCCGCAAGGUUAAAACUCAAGGGAAUUGACGGGGGCCCGCACAAGCAGCGGAGCGUGUGGUUUAAUUCGAUGAUACGCGAAGAACCUUACCUGGGCUUGACAUGGUGGUAGUAGUGAAGCGAAAGCGGAACGACCCUUCGGGGAGCCAUCACAGGUGCUGCAUGGCUGUCGUCAGCUCGUGUCGUGAGAUGUUGGGUUAAGUCCCGCAACGAGCGCAACCCUCGUCGCUAGUUAUAUGUGUCUAGUGAGACUGCCGGUAUCAAACCGGAGGAAGGUGGGGAUGACGUCAAGUCAGCAUGGUCUUUAUGUCCAGGGCUACACACACGCUACAAUGGCCGGUACAAUGGGUUGCCAUACCGCGAGGUGGAGCUAAUCCUCAAAGCCGGUCUCAGUUCGGAUUGCAGUCUGCAACUCGACUGCAUGAAGGUGGAGUUGCUAGUAACCGCGCGUCAGCAAUAGUGCGGUGAAUGCGUUCCCGGGCCUUGCACUCACCGCCC
rnacentral:rRNA from 1 species